GGCCUGUUGGCUCAGUUGUUGGUAGAGCGCUGCGCCGGCAUCGCAGAGGUCAUGGGUUCAAAUCCCGCACGGGCCU